rnacentral:rRNA from 4 species
UUUGGUGGCUUAUCGCCGAGGUCACACCCGUUCUCAUUCCGAACACGGAAGUUAAGCUCGGUUGAGGCGAUGAUACUCUCACGGGGAAAGUAGCUAGCCGCCAGAA